rnacentral:lncRNA from 1 species
UCAUCUCAGACAAUGAAAAUUGACAUUCUCAUAGCCCCCUGAAGAAGAUCCUGCAUUGACUCAGAGAGUUCGCUGAUCUUCAGAGGCUCCCCAAUGUGCAUUAGAGGGAUUUGAGAGAUCUUGCCUUCUCAUGUUGGCCAAAUUGAAGAAAGCUUUUUCUCCAAGCAGUUGUUUGCCAGUGUUUGGUGUUAACUGCACAUCAGGUUCAUAAUUUAUGGUGGAUAACUUAUAAGCAAAUAAUUAAAGAUCUACAAAAUUAAAUAAUACCAAGUGUUGGUGAAGCUGUGGAAAAAGAAUCCUCUCAUAAUGCUGGAACCAAGAUACACGAUGAAGGUAAAUUCAUUGAUUGAUUGAAUUGGGUUGUGCACAAAAAAGGAAAAUAAAAGAAUUUAAGGGUGUUUUCCUGACUUUCCUGAUGGAUGACCUUGCUAAAAAUUCCAGGCGACGCUGGUAUCCAGAGAGGGUUCUGUGUGAAAAGAGAUUCCAUGAGACAAAUGGAAGAACAAGGAGAGGCGAAAGGAACAAUAGAGGUCUUUCAGAAGCAGGUCAACAAACAUUGAUGCAGCAUUUUCUUUGUGCGUGUUGAAGAAACUUUUAAAAUCUCUCUCAGGACAAAAAACCUGUUUGAGUUUUGUGGUUUAUGCCUGUAGUUCCAGCUACUAGGGAGGCUGAGGCAGGAG